rnacentral:snoRNA from 1 species
AUAUUGUUGACACAGUGCCAUAAGAGGCUAACACAGAAGGGUAAAGGAAGCCUCCAUAAAACCCAGAGAAGAGACUGGAACUCCUCUUUGGAUCCCUUCUGGAGUCACAGAU